GCGGAUGUAGCCAAGUGGAUUAAGGCAGUGGAUUGUGA
rnacentral:tRNA from 2 species